rnacentral:rRNA from 1 species
CAAUAGCGUAUAUUAAAGUUGUUGCAGUUAAAAAGCUCGUAGUUGGAUUUCUGUCAAGAGCAAGCGGUCCGCUCCUUUGGAGUGUGUGCUUGCGUCGUUUUUGACUUUCUUCUGAACCUUGCUGUUUCCCCUUCAUUGGGUGAGGCAGUUUGGCAGAACCUUUACUUUGAGAAAAUUAGAGUGUUUCAAGCAGGCUAGCGCCUUGAAUACUGCAGCAUGGAAUAAUAAGAUAGGAUUUCAGUUCUAUUUUAUUGGUUCUAAGGACUGAAAUAAUGAUUAAUAGGGACAGUUGGGGGCAUUCGUAUUUAACUGUCAGAGGUGAAAUUCUUAGAUUUGUUAAAGACGAACUACUGCGAAAGCAUUUGCCAAGGAUGUUUUCAUUAA